CGAGGGCUGGCCAUGCUCCGCCGGAAGGCGCCUUGUUCUCCGAAAGGGUGAGUUGAAACGCUGGCUGGAAAGGAAACACCAGGACUGGUUCAGGAGUUCCACCAUCUUCCUCUGAAGACCUAGCCAUCUUGCUCCAUGAAGGUCAGGACAAUCUGACAUGCACUUGUUUCUUGCCUCUUUACCUGAAGAGUAGUCUUCUUCCAUUGUGUACAUUUUUUUCUUAAUAGGGGAGGGGAGGGGAGAGCCAGUACCCCCCCUCCCCUUCCCUCCCUAGACCUUGGGGAAGUACCCUCCAUUGCUUUCCCAAGAUGGCAGACCCCAUCAUGGAUCUGUUUGAUGACCCAAAUUUAUUUGGCCUGGACUCUCUGACUGAUGACAGCUUCAACCAAGUCACACAAGACCCCAUUGAGGAAGCCCUUGGACUGCCAAGCUCUCUGGACUCCUUGGACCAGAUGAACCAGGAUGGUGGAGGUGGUGAUGUGGGGAAUCCAUCAGCAAGUGACCUGGUCCCCCCACCAGAGGAUACAGCCCCCACAGAACUUCCCAAAGAAUCAACAGCUCCAGCUCCAGAAUCUUUAACCUUGCAUGAUUAUACCACUCAGCCCGUCAGCCAGGAGCAGCCAGCCCAACCUGUCUUACAGACACCGACGCCAACAUCAGGCCGUUUGCAGGUCUCCAAGAGCCAGGAGAUCCUGAGCCAAGGGAAUCCUUUCAUGGGUGUCUCUGCCACAGCUGUGGCCUCCGGCAGUGCUGGAGGGCAGCCGCCUCAGUCAGCCCCUAAGAUUGUUAUCCUUAAAGCCCCACCAAGCUCCUCAGUCACUGGUGCCCACGUGGCACAAAUUCAGGCCCAAGGUAUCACCAGCACAGCUCAGCCCCUGGUGGCUGGCACAGCCAAUGGUGGAAAAGUCACUUUUACCAAAGUGCUAACCGGCACUCCCCUUCGACCAGGUGUUUCCAUUGUCUCUGGUAAUACAGUGUUGGCCGCCAAGGUCCCUGGGAACCAGGCUACUGUCCAGCGCAUUGUCCAGCCCAGCCGACCUGUAAAGCAGCUGGUCCUACAGCCAGUUAAGGGUUCAGCUCCUGCUGGAAACCCUGGGGCCACAGGGCCCCCACUGAAGCCUGCAGUUACACUGACCUCUACACCUACCCAGGGUGAAUCGAAACGCAUCACCCUGGUCCUCCAGCAGCCACAGUCUGGAGGUCCCCAAGGACACCGGCAUGUCGUGCUAGGGAGUCUACCAGGCAAGAUAGUGUUACAGGGCAACCAGCUGGCAGCCCUCACUCAAGCCAAGAAUGCCCAGGGGCAGCCCGCCAAAGUAGUAACUAUCCAGCUGCAGGUGCAGCAGCCACAGCAGAAAAUCCAGAUUGUACCACAGCCUCCAUCAUCACAGCCGCAGCCCCAGCAGCCACCCUCAGCACAGCCAGUGACUCUCUCCUCUGUGCAGCAGGCUCAGAUAAUGGGACCAGGACAGAGCCCGGGACAAAGACUUUCAGUUCCGCUGAAGGUGGUGCUGCAGCCACAGGCUGGCUCUUCCCAAGGGGCCUCUUCUGGGCUUUCCGUAGUUAAAGUCCUAAGUGCCAGUGAAGUGGCAGCUCUGUCCUCACCAGCCAGCUCUGCUCCUCAUGCUGGGGGCAAGACAGGAAUGGAGGAAAACCGUAGGCUGGAGCACCAGAAGAAGCAAGAGAAAGCCAAUCGGAUUGUAGCAGAAGCCAUUGCCAGGGCUCGUGCCCGGGGUGAGCAGAACAUACCUCGAGUCCUGAAUGAGGAUGAGUUGCCCAGUGUUCGGCCUGAGGAGGAAGGUGAAAAGAAACGUCGGAAAAAGAGCAGUGGGGAGAGACUCAAGGAAGAAAAGCCAAAGAAGAGCAAAACAUCUGGUACCUCCAAAACCAAGGGCAAGAGUAAACUGAACACCAUCACUCCUGUGGUGGGUAAGAAGAGAAAGCGCAAUACCUCCUCUGAUAAUUCAGAUGUGGAAGUUAUGCCUGCACAAUCACCCCGGGAAGAUGAAGAAAGCAGCAUUCAGAAGAGACGCUCAAACCGUCAAGUUAAGCGAAAAAAAUAUACAGAGGACCUGGAUAUAAAGAUCACAGAUGAUGAAGAAGAAGAAGAAGUGGAUGUAACUGGUCCAAUAAAAACUGAGCCUAUCCUCCCUGAACCAGUGCAGGAACCCGAUGGCGAGACUUUGCCUUCCAUGCAGUUCUUUGUGGAGAAUCCCAGUGAAGAAGAUGCAGCCAUUGUAGACAAAGUGCUUUCUAUGAGGAUUGUGAAGAAGGAGCUUCCUUCCGGACAGUAUACUGAAGCAGAAGAAUUCUUUGUCAAGUACAAGAACUACUCCUAUCUGCAUUGUGAGUGGGCUACCAUCUCCCAACUAGAGAAGGACAAGAGGAUCCAUCAAAAACUAAAGCGCUUCAAAACGAAAAUGGCUCAGAUGAGACACUUCUUCCAUGAGGACGAAGAGCCCUUCAAUCCGGACUAUGUGGAGGUGGACAGGAUAUUGGAUGAGUCUCACAGCGUUGACAAGGACAAUGGGGAGCCUGUAAUUUACUACCUGGUGAAAUGGUGCUCUCUGCCCUAUGAGGACAGUACCUGGGAGCUGAAAGAGGAUGUUGACGAAGGCAAGAUUCGAGAAUUUAAACGGAUCCAGUCCAGGCACCCAGAACUCAAAAGGGUGAAUCGUCCACAGGCAAGUGCCUGGAAGAAGUUGGAGCUCUCACAUGAGUAUAAAAACAGAAACCAGUUACGGGAAUAUCAGUUGGAAGGGGUCAAUUGGCUGCUCUUUAAUUGGUAUAACAGGCAGAACUGCAUCCUGGCUGAUGAGAUGGGAUUGGGCAAAACCAUUCAGUCCAUUGCCUUCUUGCAGGAGGUAUAUAAUGUAGGCAUCCAUGGCCCCUUCCUGGUCAUUGCCCCUUUGUCCACAAUUACUAACUGGGAGCGAGAAUUCAAUACAUGGACAGAGAUGAAUACUAUUGUGUAUCAUGGCAGUCUGGCCAGCCGGCAGAUGAUUCAGCAAUAUGAAAUGUACUGCAAAGAUUCACGGGGGCGUCUCAUCCCAGGUGCAUACAAGUUUGAUGCCCUGAUCACUACUUUUGAGAUGAUUUUAUCAGACUGUCCUGAGCUUCGUGAGAUUGAAUGGCGUUGUGUCAUCAUUGAUGAGGCCCAUCGACUAAAGAACCGUAAUUGCAAGUUGCUCGAUAGUCUCAAACACAUGGACCUGGAACACAAAGUGCUACUCACAGGAACACCAUUGCAAAAUACUGUGGAGGAGCUGUUUAGCUUGCUUCAUUUCUUGGAACCGUCACAGUUUCCAUCAGAAUCAGAGUUCCUCAAAGACUUUGGUGAUCUCAAGACAGAGGAACAGGUUCAAAAGCUGCAGGCCAUUCUCAAGCCAAUGAUGCUGAGAAGACUCAAAGAGGAUGUUGAAAAAAACCUGGCACCCAAACAGGAAACUAUUAUUGAAGUAGAGCUGACCAACAUCCAGAAGAAAUACUACCGGGCUAUUCUGGAGAAGAAUUUCUCCUUUCUUUCCAAAGGGGCAGGUCAUACUAACAUGCCUAAUCUACUCAACACAAUGAUGGAACUGCGCAAAUGCUGCAACCACCCAUAUCUCAUCAAUGGUGCAGAAGAAAAAAUCCUAACAGAAUUUCGAGAAGCUUGCCACAUUAUACCUCAUGACUUCCACUUGCAGGCCAUGGUUCGUUCAGCUGGCAAACUGGUUCUUAUUGACAAGUUACUUCCAAAACUUAAAGCUGGUGGCCAUAAGGUUCUUAUCUUCUCCCAGAUGGUACGCUGCCUAGAUAUCCUAGAGGAUUAUCUAAUCCAGAGAAGGUACUUAUAUGAGCGUAUUGAUGGGCGCGUUAGAGGUAACCUUCGACAGGCUGCUAUUGACCGCUUCAGCAAGCCUGACUCAGAUCGCUUUGUCUUCCUGCUCUGCACCCGGGCUGGUGGACUUGGUAUUAAUCUCACAGCGGCUGAUACCUGCAUCAUCUUUGAUUCAGACUGGAAUCCACAAAAUGACCUGCAGGCCCAGGCACGGUGUCACCGAAUUGGGCAGAGCAAAGCUGUGAAGGUGUACCGUCUCAUCACACGGAAUUCUUAUGAGAGAGAGAUGUUUGAUAAGGCUAGUCUCAAGCUGGGAUUGGAUAAAGCUGUACUUCAGUCCAUGAGUGGUCGGGAUGGCAACAUUACUGGAAUCCAACAAUUCUCCAAGAAGGAGAUUGAAGAUCUCUUACGAAAAGGAGCGUAUGCGGCCAUAAUGGAGGAAGAUGACGAGGGCUCCAAGUUUUGUGAAGAGGACAUUGACCAGAUCUUGUUAAGACGAACCACAACCAUCACCAUUGAGUCUGAAGGAAAGGGUUCUACCUUUGCCAAGGCAAGCUUUGUUGCUUCUGAAAAUAGGACAGAUAUUUCUCUGGACGACCCCAACUUUUGGCAAAAGUGGGCCAAAAAGGCUGACCUGGACAUGGAUCUACUCAACAGCAAGAAUAACUUGGUGAUUGACACACCUAGAGUACGAAAACAGACCCGCCACUUUAGCACUCUGAAAGAUGACGACCUGGUGGAAUUCUCUGAUUUGGAAAGUGAAGAUGACGAGCGGCCACGCUCUCGCCGACAUGACCGUCAUCAUACCUAUGGGCGCACUGACUGCUUUCGGGUGGAAAAGCACCUAUUGGUCUAUGGUUGGGGACGGUGGCGAGAUAUCUUGUCUCAUGGACGCUUCAAGCGACGUAUGACUGAACGAGAUGUGGAAACAAUUUGCCGGGCCAUCCUCGUGUACUGUCUUCUGCACUAUCGUGGGGAUGAAAAUAUCAAAGGCUUCAUUUGGGACUUGAUUAGUCCUGCUGAAAAUGGCAAGACAAAAGAAUUGCAGAAUCAUUCAGGCCUAUCUAUCCCUGUGCCCCGUGGACGCAAGGGGAAAAAGGUUAAGUCACAAAGCACUUUUGAUAUCCAUAAGGCAGAUUGGAUCCGGAAAUAUAACCCUGAUACUCUAUUCCAAGAUGAAAGUUACAAGAAGCACUUGAAGCAUCAAUGUAACAAGGUGCUGUUGCGGGUACGAAUGCUGUAUUAUCUGAGACAGGAGGUGAUUGGAGAUCAGGCAGAGAAGGUGUUAGGGGGUGCCAUUGCCAGUGAGAUUGACAUAUGGUUCCCAGUGGUGGAUCAGCUGGAGGUUCCAACAACAUGGUGGGACAGUGAGGCUGACAAGUCCCUGCUCAUUGGCGUCUUUAAGCAUGGCUAUGAAAAAUAUAAUACUAUGAGGGCAGACCCAGCCUUAUGUUUCCUGGAAAAAGCUGGCCGACCAGAUGACAAAGCUAUUGCAGCAGAACAUCGAGUGCUGGAUAAUUUCUCCGAUAUAGUAGAAGGGGUUGACUUUGAUAAGGAUUGUGAAGAUCCUGAAUAUAAACCACUCCAGGGCCCCCCGAAAGACCAAGAUGAUGAGGGUGAUCCCUUGAUGAUGAUGGAUGAGGAGAUCUCAGUGAUUGAUGGAGAUGAAGCCCAGGUGACCCAACAGCCAGGCCAUCUAUUCUGGCCUCCAGGCUCUGCUCUGACAGCUAGGCUUCGGCGCCUAGUAACAGCCUAUCAGCGCAGCUACAAGAGAGAACAGAUGAAGAUAGAGGCUGCAGAACGUGGGGACCGGAGACGGCGGCGUUGUGAGGCAGCCUUCAAGCUAAAAGAAAUUGCACGGCGGGAGAAACAGCAACGAUGGACAAGGCGUGAACAAACUGAUUUCUAUCGAGUAGUGUCUACCUUUGGUGUGGAGUAUGACCCUGACACCAUGCAGUUCCAUUGGGAUCGCUUCCGCACUUUUGCCCGACUGGAUAAAAAAACAGACGAAAGCCUUACCAAGUACUUCCAUGGGUUUGUGGCCAUGUGUCGCCAAGUGUGCCGCCUUCCCCCAGCAGCUGGAGAUGAGCCCCCGGACCCUAAUCUGUUCAUUGAGCCCAUCACUGAGGAGAGGGCCUCACGGACUCUCUAUCGUAUCGAAUUGCUUCGACGCUUACGGGAACAAGUUUUAUGCCACCCCCUUUUGGAAGAUCGGCUGGCGUUAUGUCAGCCUCCAGGUCCCGAACUGCCCAAAUGGUGGGAGCCCGUUCGGCAUGAUGGCGAGCUUCUACGGGGGGCAGCCCGCCACGGGGUGAGCCAAACAGACUGCAACAUCAUGCAGGACCCAGACUUCUCUUUUCUGGCUGCCCGUAUGAAUUUUAUGCAGAACCAUCAGUCAGGAGCGUCAGCUCCAUCCCUGUCACGCUGCUCUACCCCACUGCUGCACCAGCAGUAUACCUCGCGCACCGCCUCACCGCUGCCUCUGCGCCCAGAAGCUUCUGUUGAAAAGCCACCUGAGGAGACAGCUACCCAGGUCCCCAGUCUGGAGAGUCUGACUUUAAAGCUAGAGCAUGAGGUGGUGGCCAGGAGCCGACCAACCCCACCGGACUAUGAAAUUCGAGUAGCCCCCUCUGAUACCACCCCGCUGGUGUCUCGGAGUGUCCCACCAGUUAAACUAGAAGAUGAGGAUGAGUCGGACUCUGAGCUGGACUUGAGCAAGCUGUCACCUUCAUCCUCUUCUUCCUCCUCCUCAUCCAGCUCCAGCUCCAGCACUGAGGAGAGUGAGGAUGAAAAAGAAGAGAAGCUAACUGCUGACCGGUCCCACUCAAAGCUCUAUGAUGAAGAGAGUCUCCUGUCCCUCACUAUGUCCCAAGAUGGAUUCCCAAAUGAAGAUGGAGAACAAAUGACCCCUGAGCUUCUGCUGCUACAAGAAAGACAAAGAGCCUCUGAGUGGCCCAAGGAUCGUAUCCUGAUAAACCGUAUUGACCUCGUCUGCCAGGCUGUACUCUCAGGGAAGUGGCCUUCUAGCCGCCGGAACCAGGAAAUGGUAACUGGAGGAAUUUUGGGGCCAAGCAACCACUUGCUAGACAGUCCCUCAUUGACUCCAGGAGAAUAUGGUGACUCUCCAGUCCCCACACCACGAAGUAGCAGUGCAGCUUCCAUGGCAGAGGAGGAUGUGUCCGCAGUCACCACAGCAGCAGCUCAAUUCACCAAACUUCGCCGCGGCAUGGAUGAGAAAGAGUUUACAGUUCAAAUCAAAGAUGAGGAAGGAUUGAAGUUAACAUUCCAGAAGCACAAGUUGAUGGCUAAUGGAGUAAUGGGAGAUGGACAUCCUCUGUUUCAUAAGAAGAAGGGGAACAGAAAGAAGCUAGUCGAGGUGAGUGUUAAGAAAUUCUUUAACAUGAUGAUUAGAUAAGAUCUUUUAUAUUCCCAGUAAUUGAUGAAGGCAGUUGGGAUUGAGGGACUAGAAGAUAUUAGUUCUUUUAUGGCUACCAUUGGCUGUGCUCCCCCUCUCUCCCUGCCCCAAAGAAGAGUCUGUGCUCAUGGGGGUGGAUUCUGGGUUUGCAGCUGGAGGUGGAGUGCAUGGAAGAGCCUAAUCACCUUGAUGUGGACCUGGAGACCCGGAUCCCUGUCAUCAAUAAGGUGGAUGGUACUUUGCUGGUGGGUGAGGAUGCCCCUCGCCGGGCUGAACUGGAGAUGUGGUUACAGGGUCAUCCAGAGUUCGCUGUCGAUCCCCGAUUUCUAGCGUAUAUGGAGGAUCGCAGAAAACAGAAGUGGCAAAGAUGUAAAAAAAAUAAUAAGGCAGAAUUGAACUGUUUGGGAAUGGAACCAGUACAGACUGCUAACUCUCGGAAUGGAAAAAAGGGUCACCAUGCUGAAACUGUGUUCAACCGGGUUUUGCCAGGGCCUAUUGCACCAGACAACAGCAAGAAGCGAGCCCGUAGGAUGCGACCAGACCUUUCUAAGAUGAUGGCCCUGAUGCAGGGUGGAGGCACUGGGUCCCUUUCUCUGCAUAAUACCUUCCAGCACAGCAGUAGUGGCCUGCAGUCUGUGUCAUCUCUGGGUCACAGCAGUGCCACAUCUGCAUCUUUGCCUUUUAUGCCGUUUGUGAUGGGUGGUGCAGCAUCAUCCCCUCAUGUAGACUCCAGCACCAUGCUUCAUCACCACCACCACCACCCCCACCCCCACCAUCACCACCAUCACCAUCCAGGCCUGAGAGCCACUGGCUACCCUUCUUCACCAGCCACUACCACCUCUGGUACUGCCUUGAGGUUGCCACCACUGCAACCUGAGGAGGAUGAGGACGAUGAGGAUGAAGAUGAUGACGAUGAUUUAUCUCAGGGCUAUGAUAGCUCAGAAAGGGACUUCUCACUCAUUGAUGAUCCUAUGAUGCCAGCCAACUCAGACUCCAGCGAAGAUGCUGAUGACUGAAGUCCCAGCAUGGUCCCCAUUGCUUGGGUGGCUGCUGUAUUUUCAUUUACUCUGGCCCUUGGACUAUGGAAAAGUGGGAGGGGCAGGGGAGAUGUGGGGAUACCCAGGACUCCAGGAGGUGAAAAGGAAAAAAGAAAACUGUACCUGAUUGCUUCCAAAUUUGAGCGGAUUGAGUGGGCAGGGGAACUCCUAAAAUAAUACUCGACCACUUCCUCAUUUCUGGGGAAGAAAAGGAGACUAGAGCAGCUGAGGCGCUCACCCCUCCCUAGGCACCUCCAUUAACCACAGACUAUGUAGUGCUGGCCCUAGCCUCUGGCACAGCCUGUUCCUGGCCGAACUGUGGAUACAGCUGGAGGGUCAGGAACUGUUACCUUCCUUCCCUUGGCAUUAAUAAAUUUAAGUUAAUCCUU